rnacentral:rRNA from 1 species
GAUGAACGCUGGCGGCGUGCCUAAUACAUGCAAGUCGAGCGAACGGACGAGAAGCUUGCUUCUCUGAUGUUAGCGGCGGACGGGUGAGUAACACGUGGAUAACCUACCUAUAAGACUGGGAUAACUUCGGGAAACCGGAGCUAAUACCGGCUAAUAUUUUGACCCGCAUGGUUCAACAGUGAAAGACGGUCUUGCUGUCACUUAUAGAUGGAUCCGCGCUGCAUUAGCUAGUUGGUAAGGUAACGGCUUACCAAGGCAACGAUGCAUAGCCGACCUGAGAGGGUGAUCGGCCACACUGGAACUGAGACGCGGUCCAGACUCCUACGGGAGGCAGCAGUAGGGAAUCUUCCGCAAAGGGCGAAAGCCUGACGGAGCAACGCCGCGUGAGUGAUGAAGGUCUUCGGAUCGUAAAACUCUGUUAUUAGGGAAGAACAUAUGUGUAAGUAACUGUGCACAUCUUGACGGUACCUAAUCAGAAAGCCACGGCUAACUACGUG